UCUUCUGGAGCUUCUCCUCUCCUGCCUUCCAGUCCCUGCAAGACGCGCGACGCGCGGCAAAGGUGGGUCAAUGCGUGUGUUCGAGUUCUUUGCCGCUUUGGUUGAUACUGUUGCUCGUCUCAUGGACAAGUGUUGUUGUUGAUUUUUCAUGAUAUGCACGAGCGGGGGUUUGAUUUCCGUCGCCGCGGCCUGAGACGAGGGUAGAGCGGAUGUGUGUUUCCGUGCAAGGUGAGAUCAACCUGUCAACAUUAGCCAGGGCGUACGUGCAUGCGCUUGUGCGUCCCGGAGGCCAAGAGGAAGGAAGGAAGGAAGGAAGGGAGGAGGACGGCGCAUCCACGAUUCUGUCCCGUCCCGGCGAGGCAAUCGAUCGACGCCAUCGGUGGUGCGGUCGUCAUCAAGCGCACAGAUGGGGAUGCUGCCAUUGCCGGCGCCGGCGGCGACCGACGCUAGCUAGCUGGAGGCGGGUGGGCGUUUGCGUCUUACUCUGGGCGGCUGGCCCUUCAUCUGCAUAUCAGGCAGCCUGCAAUGCAAAUCGGCUUACUAAUGCUUACGAAUAAGCUGGACAAUUCUCAGAAAAAUGGAAAAAGAACCCACUUGUCACGGGCUUACGGUAAACAUCAAUAGUAGCCUGAUUCUAGUAUAGCCAGAAGAUAUGUUGGCAUCUGAUAUUCUGACAUCACAUGAAUGUUCAUACUUAAUUUAGGCCUACCAAACAAAGCUUCCUCACAAGGAUUUCAUUAUCUUUGGCACAAGGUCAGUCUCUGUGCAUGUGUCUGUUGCUUGGAUCAUAUCCACAAGUACAGUUCUACUCAAGCAAGGGCUGCAAACAAACCUUUUUGCCCUGUUUGGAAUGGAUACUUUACUAUGGAUACCGAUGCCAGGUCCUUAUGCUGAAUCUAGAAAAUCUACUAGCAGUUAACUCCUUCUGAGUUACGAUGAAACUAUCAAAGGCAAUCACAUCCAUAGUAAAGUAUCCAGUGAGCUUAUUUUCUUCUACCUAUCAUUUACCAACACAUAGGGUCUAAUGUAGCACACACAUUCAGCCCAUUAUCUCAAGAUGUAAGUACUUCAUUGAACUUUUUUAUAGUAGAACUGAUAAUCAAAAUGGAAACUACAUACCCUACAUCAGUAGAUAAGUAACAAUAUAUAUUCAGUAGGAAUGAAUUUUGUAUAGUUAGGGCAUCAAGAGCAAGACUGUGGAAACCAAGAUAGUGAU